ACUUAACUUGCAGCUGCGUUGAUGAUGGCCUCUAAUGAGCCACAGGGGCAGCCAGUCAGACCUGAGAGCGCCAACAUACGUAUGCAAAUAAAUCUUUGACAUUUGCGCAUCUCUGCUCGGUGUGCCGGGAAUGUGGAUCAGUUUACCACAGCAUCUAUUUGCAGUACUGUGACUCAACAAUGCAUCCCACUUUAAUCUAAGAUGGCCCACUGGCAAGCAGGAGUGAAAGCUGACACCGUACAGCAGAGGACCCUCCGGCUAUGUAAAGAGGGGAGAAGGGUUUGGAAGAAGAAAAAGCAGGCUUUCAGGAGGAGCUGAAGUAGAACGAUCAGGCUCCACAACAAAACCAGGGAGUCUGCCAAACACAAAAGAAGUCUGGGCGAAGAGCUGCUCCAUUUUCUGUGCUGCCGUGGUCGCAUUUUGUGGAUAGAAAUUUCCACUUGUGGCUCAAUUCCAGAGUUGCACAUGACCAGUGUGUUCAUCUACAUUUCCUCUAAGAAUGACACAGGGUUAACUCAACGAUUGCUCAAUAGAAACCUAUUCUUAAAAUAUCAGCUCUAGGGUACAAUCUCUGUGCCUUUUGCAGAAAAUGUAACAAAAAAAAAAGCAUCAUGUAUGGGUGCAUGAGGGCACUUUUUUACCACUUUAACUCAUCAGUGUAAAACAAAAGCAUCUCAGUGGGGAGAUAGUAAAAUGCUAUGUUGUACGGUAUUUAAAUGAAUAUUAAAUAUGUUGUUUUGUAGAUGUUUUUUAGAAUAUUUGAUUCACAAGGAAAAAUCGAAAAGCAAAAACAAGUGAGAGAAACAGUGUUAAAACACAGCUCAGUAAUAUUUAAUAUUAAACAAUAAUUAAAAACACUGAAGUUGAACAAAAAAUCCAUAUUUAUGGGUUUACAGCUGUAAAAAGUAUUCCAAAUACCGAGGCAUAACCUGGAGCAGACUAUGUUUGGGCAGCUGAGACAUUAAUAAUGAAAGUAAUAUAGAUUAUUGCUGUGUAUGGCUUAUUUCUAAUCUGUGAACUCUUCCACUAGAGACCUUGCAAACCAAGGCCAUGUAUAUUGCAGAGCCUGCUACAGCUAAGGAUGCUUUAUGAGCAUAGGUUGGUGAAGGACAACCUCCUCAUUUUUACUGUGCCAUAGUUCUGAACCCAGUGCGCUGCAUCAUUUUUAGCUUUGACACCCUUGAGAAAAAAACCCAACCUCUCUCUCCCCUUUCUGUGUAAAGCAGAACUGAUGGCACCGAACAGAACCUGCAGUAUUAUCUUUAUUGACAAUUUUUUAACAUAUGUUUUAUGAUAUUCCUUUAAUACUUUAAAUGCUGUCACCCUUAUAAAAAUGACCCCUUAAAAUCUAAACAGUUAAACGUCUGCCUGAGUAAUGAAAGUAUGAACUACAAUCUCCUGUCCUUUAUGAAAACGUAAUGCAUCUUCUUCAUGAGGCAGGAAGCUUUAUUUUCUCACAUGCACACUGCAGCAAAGCAAAAUGUGGUUACUGCGUGUGUUGGUGUUUAUACGUGCGUCGGGUUAUUUUUAACCUUUCCUUCACUAACAGAUCUGUCCUGCUGAGUAGUUCUGAGUAAAAGUAGUAGUAGUAGCUGAAAUGCAUCAUGAGGUCAGCUAAGCAAUCUGCACACAAUAUUUCCGAAACUAAGUUUGUUACUUGUUGCUAUCUACCAUAUUAUCUCAUGACGGCAAAGUAAGAGGGGCGGCCUGUGUUUGUGUGUUGUUUUUAGAUAAAAGUACUGUAAAUAAACCAUGACUGUGUUUCAUAAUGUGAGUGCUAAAUUCAUAAAUCCACAACAAGUAA